rnacentral:piRNA from 1 species
UGACAAGAAGUGUGCAAUAUUUACCUGGAU